rnacentral:misc_RNA from 1 species
AAAAAUCGCGCUGCCGCCCUGGCUCUGCAAUGCGCACGCUUCUUCUUUCUCAUGCGUCUCCAAGCCAUGGAGCUCUUUCCUGCUCCCGUUCUGGCCACGCCCUGGCCCCUGCUCGGACGGUGCUCGGUCCUGCCCCUGCCCCAACGCCAGCCAUCUCCGGUUCCCUCGAAUGGCGCACGCCCGUUCUGCUCGCCGGCGCUCGGAGCUCCCUCUCUGCUCGCUGCGUCCGACCAGAACUCCCUGCGCGCGCGGAUCUCUCCCCCCUCGGCUUCUCCUCCCUCAGCUCGUCUCUCUCUGCCCGCGCGCGUUCUUCCCAUGGCGCCGAGCCUCUUCCGGCCGUGGAGCCCUGCGCAUCGCGGAACUUCUUUCCUGCCCCACCCAUGGCGGUUCCCUGGAUCUCGCCCAGCCCAGCUGCGUCUUCUUCCUCCCGGCGUUCUUCCUGUCCCGCGUGCGCCCUGGAUUUCUCUGCGUGUCCCUUGUCUUCUUCCUCCAGUGGCGUGCACAGGAUCGCGCUCUGCGUUUGCCAUGGACGCGGGCAGAUCUCUCAUGGUUUCUCCCCUGGCGCGCCCAACUCCACCCCAGCGUCCCUCCGACCAUGAUCUCGUCGAGGCUCCUUCCCCGCGCGAGUUCUUUUGCUGGCCGAGCAGCCCGGCCUUCGUCCCCAUGGCGCCCAGUCUUGGUUGCUCCCUGCGCGUUGCUCCAGCUCGCCGGUGCUCCUCCCUCUGGUCAUGCUCCUAGUCGUGAGCUCCUGCUUGGCCACCAUCUCCCAUGCGCCCGUUCGCCACCUCGCCGUGCAGCUCGCCCCGGCUCCUCGCCUCCCCCAUGGCUGAGCGCUCCUCUGCUCGGAUCUCGCCAGGCCACGGCCUCGCCCUGCUGCUCCGCGCGCCCAAGCCCUCUCCUUCCUCCUCUCUUCUCCAGCGUCGCGGUGCUCCAGCUUGUUUCCAUGGCGCGCAGCCGCGCCCCCUGGCCUAGAUCUCCAUGGUGCUCGCCCCUGCACAAGUGAAUCACCCGGGCCCGACAUGGACACCAUGUCCAGUCCCCUGCGUCACGUCUGGGAUUUUGUCGCGUGUCCCUGCGCCAUACGUGUCCCCGGCCCUCGCGCUGGCUUGCCUCGUCGCCGAAUUCCAGAACCCGUGUCGUCGCCCUGCUCGCCCAAGUCACCUAUGGCUGCGCGCGGUGUUGUUGUCGACGCUGUGCUCGUCGGGAUUAGCCUCUGCGCAUUCUUGCUCCCUGUUCGCGCCGUUGCGAGCUCGUCAGCCACCCUUGCCUUGUCAUAGAAACCCCAACGCCGUCAUCCGUGGUCGCGACCUCGCCAAAUGCGUUCGUCGCUUGGCCCUGUGUGGUUUGGCUCGUCGACCUUGUCCACUGUCGUGUGCGCUUGUUCCUAAGGUGCAUCGCGCAGUAGUUGGAUCUCGCGCAUGUGGUUUUGAAGCUCUGCGCGUUCGUCGUGCCGCGUCGUGUGCCGAUAUUCUCUCUCGGCAGACCUCGCCGUCGACCAUGUUCAAGUGAUUGCUCGGCUCCUCGCAUCCCGCCUAUUCGAUAAAACACCUAAAUUCAUAGACUGUCUGCCGUACGUGGCUAUCUCCAUCACUUGCGUCAGCUCGCCAGACCUGCAGCUCUAUAUACGUCACCCUCCCGUAUUGUCGUCGAGCCCAUCGAACCUCGUUCUUCCCUGCCCGAUCUCGUCGAACCCCGAAUCCCGGACGUUAUGCAGAAAUAAGCAAGGUCCCUGUGCAUCGCUUAUCAAGUGCUCGGUCGAAGACUUCAAUCGAAGGUCGUCGUCAUUCGUAAGAAAUCCCAAGAAUCAGGUGAAGCCGAAGCUAGCAGUGUGAUAUUCACCAAGUGCUCGACAAAAGCUCGAACAAGUCGUCGAUUUCGUGGUUUCCAGUCGGAUAAAAUAAGGAAGAUGAGCCAAGUCGACCCCAAGCGCGGGCUAAUCCACAGGAUGAUGCUGAUGGACAAACCUGAAGAUGGAUAAUGGAGCGAGUAUCGGACUAAAGGCUGAUCGUCAAGUGGACAUUGUCUAACAACACUAACCUAGUGUUAUUCAGGUUAUAACUUUGUGCUGCUGAUGAUGGUGUUAAGUGUCGGUGGGCUCGGCCUUCUUAUAAGUCUAAGUAACCCUUCUAUACUUCUUAAUGAGGAUGGUCACUUGAGCUAGCAUAUAUUUCAAACUUAUACUUUUGCAAUCACUCCGAUAAAAUAAUGUAAAAUUUUUGUAACUUGUAAAAUUUGGUAAUAAGAUUUCCGCUGCAAAAAUAUUGGUGUGUGUGAUUUGUGUUACUUAAUCUUGCGGUCCUGGUUGUUCGUGGUUUACCCGGGGUCCUUGGGGCACUCGGACGGAUCCUGUUAAGUUAUCUAGUGCACAUGCGUAGCAGUCUGAGGUCUUUGAGACAAGGAAAGGUGCAUGUGGGCCCAAUAACUUGGGAGGUUCUGCCACAAUAAUAAUACUUAUGCACUCAUACCCC